rnacentral:rRNA from 1 species
GAUGAACGCUGGCGGCGUGCUUAACACAUGCAAGUCGAACGGGAUCCAUCAAGCUUGCUUGGUGGUGAGAGUGGCGAACGGGUGAGUAAUGCGUGACCGACCUGCCCCAUACACCGGAAUAGCUCCUGGAAACGGGUGGUAAUGCCGGAUGCUCCGGCCUGCCGCAUGGUGGGCUGGGAAAGAUUGUAUCGGUAUGGGAUGGGGUCGCGUCCUAUCAGGUAGUCGGCGGGGUAACGGCCCACCGAGCCUACGACGGGUAGCCGGCCUGAGAGGGCGACCGGCCACAUUGGGGCUGAGAUACGGCCCAGACUUCUACGGGAGGCAGCAGUGGGGAAUAUUGCACAAUGGGCGCAAGCCUGAUGCAGCGACGCCGCGUGCGGGAUGACGGCCUUCGGGUUGUAAACCGCUUUUGAUCGGGAGCAAGCCUUCGGGUGAGUGUAC